GAGUUUGAUCGUGGCUCAGGAUGAACGCUAGCGGCAGGCUUAAUACAUGCAAGUCGAACGGCAGCGCGGGAGCAAUCCUGGCGGCGAGUGGCGAACGGGUGAGUAAUACAUCGGAACGUGCCCAAUCGUGGGGGAUAACGCAGCGAAAGCUGUGCUAAUACCGCAUACGACCUACGGAUGAAAGCAGGGGACCGCAAGGCCUUGCGCGAAUGGAGCGGCCGAUGGCAGAUUAGGUAGUUGGUGGGGUAAAGGCUCACCAAGCCGACGAUCUGUAGCUGGUCUGAGAGGACGACCAGCCACACUGGGACUGAGACACGGCCCAGACUCCUACGGGAGGCAGCAGUGGGGAAUUUUGGACAAUGGGCGCAAGCCUGAUCCAGCCAUGCCGCGUGGAUGAUGAAGGCCCUAGGGUUGUAAAAUCCUUUCGUUGGGGACGAUAAUGGCGGUACCCAAAGAAGAAGCUCCGGCUAACUUCGUGCCAGCCGCCGCAGUAAU
rnacentral:rRNA from 2 species